rnacentral:rRNA from 1 species
UACAGAGGUCUCAAGCGUUGUUCGGAUUCAUUGGGCGUAAAGGGUGCGUAGGCGGCGCGGUAAGUCGGGUGUGAAAUUUCGAGGCUUAACUUCGAAACUGCAUUCGAUACUGCCGUGCUUGAGGACUGGAGAGGAGACUGGAAUUUACGGUGUAGCGGUGAAAAUGCGUAGAUAUCGUAAGGAAGACCAGUGGCGAAGGCGGGUCUCUGGACAGUUCCUGACGCUGAGGCACGAAGGUCAGGGGGAGCAAAACGGGG